ensembl:snoRNA SNORA62 Small nucleolar RNA SNORA62/SNORA6 family
CUUCCACACAAGAGAUAUUUAAAUCUAAUCUGCUGGUUGAUGAACUCACCAGCGUAGGUCGUGUGCUACGUGAUGGGGGAGUCAUUCGCUAACACCACAAGGGUCUCUGGCCCCAUGGGUGGGGUUUGAGAGUAGUUCUUGCCACAAGU